GACGAACGCUGGCGGCAUGCUUAAUACAUGCAAGUCGAACGGAAAGGCCCGGCUUUUGUGGGGUGCUCGAUUGGCGAAGGGGUGAGUAACACGUGAGGAACCUGCCCUUGAAUGUGGGAGAACUUCAGGAAACUGGGGCGAAUACCGGAUAGGAUCUCCUGCUGCAUGUGGGGGGUUGGAGAGAGUCGGCGGUGGGGGAUGGACUAGAUGGUUACGAGCUUGUUGGUGGAGUAGUGGAUGACAAAGGCUUUGACGGGUAGCCGGCAUGAGAGGGUGACCGGGCACAAUGGGCCUGAGAUACGGACCAGACUCCUACGGGCGGCAGUAGUGGGGAACAUUGCACAACGGGCGGACGCCUGAUGUGAAAACGCCGCGUGCGGAAUGCUGUCCUUCGAGUUGUAAACAGAUUUCGACGUUGCCGAAGCGUGCGUGACGGUACUGGGUAAAGAAGCAACGGCUAACUACGUG
rnacentral:rRNA from 1 species